rnacentral:rRNA from 1 species
CCUACGGGGGGCAGCAGUGAGGAAUAUUGGUCAAUGGGCGCGAGCCUGAACCAGCCACGUCGCGUGAAGGAUGACGGCCUUAUGGGUUGUAAACUUCUUUUACAGGGGAAUAAAGUGAGUCACGUGUGAUUUUUUGCAUGUACCCUGUGAAUAAGCAUCGGCUAACUCCGUGCCAGCAGCCGCGGUAAUACGGAGGAUGCGAGCGUUAUCCGGAUUUAUUGGGUUUAAAGGGUGCGUAGGCGGGAUAUUAAGUCAGCGGUGAAAGUUUUCGGCUCAACCUUAAAAUUGCCGUUGAAACUGUUAUUCUUGAGUGCAGUAGAGGUAGGCGGAAUUCGUUGUGUAGCGGUGAAAUGCGUAGAUAUAACGAGGAACUCCGAUUGCGUAGGCAGCUUACUAUAUUGCUACUGACGCUGAGGCACGAAAGUGUGGGUAUCAAAC